CUGCCAAACCGCUCCCAUCUAUCGGGCCUCUCUCUCAAUCGACGCCUGCAAACCCGCCCAUCUCCAUGUAUCCCCGCUGCGGCACCGCCCCUGCCACCGCGUCUCCGCAUCAGCCGUCCUCCGCUCGCGCCAGAAGCCUCCAUCCUCUAGCUCUUGCAGUUCCGGUAGGAGACCAUGACCUUUGUCGGGUGCUCGCCAAACUCGCCGCCAUCGGUGAUAAGGUCAACAUCCGACGCGUGAUGUCCUGGAGAGAAUCGACGGAUCUAACCGUCAUCCCUCGCUUCCUCCGCACCAGCAAGCCCCUGCGUUGUUGCUACGGCCCCUUGGCCGUCGUCAGUCGUCACCGGAUCCACCUCCACGCCCGCGUCGCCGCCUACCUGUAGCCGUGCUGCCUCCAUCGUUCUCGCGCAUGUGCCAUCACCUGCCUGCACCUGUGCCACAUCCAUCGCUCUCUCUCUCUCGCACCACCCUGCCAGUGUCGCCGCUGUUGUUCUCCGAUCCGUCCGACCAUGUUCCCAUGCUACAAAUUCCCGUCAUCGCAGGUCUGUCGAUCGCCAUAGGUGGCAGCCGCAGCUCAACCGCUACCUCGGGAGGUCUUCCUAAAUCAUCCAGGUUGUAUUAUCCUCUCUUCUCCAUCUCAGUCUUAAAUUACUGCUCACAACUCACACGUAUCAUCCUUCUUUCUGUUAUAUGGUUCAACCAGUAAUCAGAUAAACCUAAUUGUAUUCGUGUGAUGGUUCGGUUCCAGCCCACCAGGUGUUUGUGCAAAUGUCUAAGAGUUCAAAUUCCUUUUGUUCAAUAAAUGAGAGGUUCUUUUUCCUAAUACUUCUGGAUGCCAUGUCGUGAAGUCAUGAGGACCCCCAGGGUAAUACCCAUCCAUCUGCAGCGCUGCCGAUAGCCUUAUUCUGCUCUUCAUCUUCCUGAUUUGAAUCACAUGAAACAGAGCAAGAACGCCAAGGACGCCGACCACUGUGGCCGAGCUUGUCGUGUCGAUCAAAAUGCUCGCGGUCCUAGCCAGCCGCGGCGUGUUCCAAACAGCACACACGAUUAAGUUCUACGCUUCACCAUAGCCCCCGUUUAGGUAACCUAACUUCAUAGUGGAAAUCUGAGAUAGAAUUCCACGAUUAAUUAUGUGGCAUUGAUCUUUUGUUAGGGCAUAUGCUGCAUUGAUCUCUGCUUGUACUUCUGUGCCACAAGAUAUUAUUCCAUUGUCUGGAAAUAGCCUUUUAUUGCAGUAAAAAAUACUGUAAGCUGCCCCGCACAUUAUAGUGUGGGAGCCUACUGUUCAUAUGGCAGUUAAGCUGGUUAUUGGUGCUGCAGCUGACCGCCAUGGCCUCCAUAUGCUACACAUAUGCAGCUCAAGCAUACUCAGACUUGAUUCUUGUUGUCGCUCACGGUAUGACAUUGUUCCAGAAUAUCCAUUUCAUUAUGUUGUUACUUCAUUAUGUUGCACAUUUAUAUCUUCAAAUUUAGCAUAUCUUGAUGUCCCAAACUAUAGACGAUGAAUCAAAAAGUAGGGCUUUGCUGGAGUUUCACGAAAAGCCGUCAUGCCAUUUUUCAAGGAAGCUUUGGAUAUAUUGGGCUGACCGAUGUAUGAGUAUAUUCUUGUUUGGUCAUUUGAACUGAUAUUUCCAUGUUUAUAUAUAAAAAAUAAAUAUUCAUUGACUUCACACCGUUGCCAAAAAAACAUUUUAUGAUAAAAGCACAUUCUUGAAAACUACCAUUUGGUAGACGUGCAUUGCACCUGUGUGUUCAUUGCACCUGUGUGAUAUACUAAUAAUCUAUUGUGAAAUGCGAGUGCCAAUAGUAGGGAACUAGGGGAGGUUAUCUCCCAGAAUCAUAGGAGAGAAGAACUGAAGAAGCGAUACCUUAGUUUGGUAUGAUGCAAUGAGAAGAGUACAAUGUUUGAGAGGCUCAGAGAGUACCAAGGCACAGGUGCAAUGUUAGUGGAUUACAGGUUGGAAAAACAAGACUAUUCAGAGUUCAGACACCAUGUGCAUGUUUGCUGCUGCUAGAUGAUUUUGCUUGUCACAGGACUGUUUACGACCGACAAUCCAGGGCUUCGGUAAUUGACGGGGGCUAUUAUGACCCCAUUUUUUACUAUAAAAACAAUUUCAUUUGCAGAAGAUGCAACAGAGGAACCAGCCACACGACACCAACAAGCAGGUGAAGGUUACUGGUUUUUUUGGUUCUUUGAGUUAGUUGUGAUUGUUAUCACUAGAUGUUGUAGGACACAACUUAUUUUGUGAAGAUCACUCCUCAAAUGCAGUGACUGAAGUGCCAUAUCAUGUAGGAUUUGCUUUGUUAUGUUUUUCACAGUAUAAUUAAAACUUAUAAAUAUGGCUUCAUGACAAUGGAGUGGUGAAAUGCCCAUCCAGCUUUGCAAUCCUCUGUAUUUGCAAAUUCUCUAGAUAGAUCAAGUUCAUUUGACAAUGUUUAAAGAAGCAUCACUGACAGAUACUGUCUUCAGUGCUUCCCAAAACCAGGUGCUGAAGUACAUUCUAUCUAGACAAUACUAUUUGAAAAUAAGGCCUAAAACAUCUUGUUUUGAAUCAGAGGGUUUUGCCACCCCUACACUCAGCAGCAUUUCAUCCAAAACAAUCUUGAUGCUAACUGAAACAUGAAAAGUAAAACAAAUCAGGAUAGAUAUAAUUCACAAAUCAGGUGGACCUGUAUUUUUUGUGUUAUCUUGCGGUGGCAGAACCAUUUGUCAUUAAUCCUUUAACAGAUUAUUGUCGGGUCUAAAUUUCCGUUCUUACAAAGAUGGAAUAAAUGUUGAUCUAUUCAUAGCUGGAUGUACCUGUGGGCAUUCUAAUUGUGUUUGCUGGAUGUAUAGUAAAACACACACAUAUCAGGAAGGCCAAGGAAAUAUAUUGAGUUUACUGGAUUGAUGAAGUAUGUUAUUGCAACUUUUUUCUGAAUUAAUGCUGUCCACUGUUUCUAUUUUUUUACAUACAGCCUUUCAGGUUAUCACUAUUGUCCUGAACCAUGCCAUUUUAUAUUGAUCAGAUAUGAUACCUUAUAGAGGGUGGUAUUUUUCCGUAGAACUGCAGAGAGGUAGUUGUUUCAUUUGUAAGAGAAUUAAAAAAAGUCAAAAGUUGUUUCAUUUGUAAGAGAAUUAAAAAAAGUCAAAAGUUGUUGCUUAUGUAAAACUUAAAUAUAUGAAAACACAUUAUAUAUUCUUGUGAGAGCUACUACAUAAUUGCGUAUCAUCAAGCUUCUAAAUUAGUGUGCCAUUUUCCAUCUUCUCGAUGAUUGAUAAUAAGAUAGUAAAUCAACAGUUCUUAUUAAAUAUUAACAAUUUUCAGCGCAUUUACUCAUCAUCUAGAGUAAACUGCUUUUGAGACUAUAUAACAUGAACGAGUCCAGGAUAGUAUUGAUCUUACCUUAGCCUGAUAAUUGAUAAUUUUACGAUUGUGUGAGAAGUGAAUGGUAGACGGAUACCAAAAUGAAAACUUAAAUCUGAAGUUUUUUUUGUGUGUUGUCACAUUAACAUGAAGUUCUGGGAGUGUGAAAAAGUUGUGUUUUUCGGCCCUAUUAUUGUACCUGAAGUUUUGUUGUGUUGUCACAUUAUGACCAAGGGGUUCCCAGCUCACAGUCAACCAACAAGAUAUUGAUGAGAGCGCAACAAGGUAUGCCACCCAAUGAGAAGCUAUAUUUCGUUCAGCAGUAGACCCACUAAGGAAGAAUAAUAACUUCCAAUUGCACAACAAGAUGGAGAUAUCUGAACUCUGAACCCAGUCAGGAAUCAGAAAAUCCUGGUUGCAACAUCAAUACAAAAACGGUGGGAGAAGUCAGUUGCAACCAGCAACAUGCAGAAGAGCCAGCCUGCAGUCCUUCUACGGCCAGCAACAUUUCAAAGAAAGACCAUCAUUAUACUCCUGCCAACAAUAGCGGUGAAGCAGUACCUCAAACACUUUACAUCUUCGGAAAAAAACAAGACAAAUGUUGUGAUGCGUGCCAAAAUAUUCUAGCUAUACUUUGUAUAUAAAACUAACUUGAGACUGAAUUUAUAGCUGAGUUUAGGGAAUACAUCCUUAGCCAACAUUUCUACUUGUGCUUGAUUAGGAGCAGUUUAGGGAACGUAUGUCGAGAAGUUAGUAGAAUACAUGGCGUGCGAGUUUCGUUUUGGUUAUCUGAUGAACGAC